GGGGGCGAAAUGGCUUCGACGGGGAAGAGAAAGUCGAGGUUGCAGGUCGAGGUGCCGCCAGGCCUCGUAAAACAGGCGGCAAGCAAGUAGUUGCCAACGACUACGAUUACGCUCUGGCAGCUUAAAUAGCCAGUGUCUCCGCGGCUGAUGCCUGAUAGACCGCAGGAGGCAACGACACCAUCAGGCUAGUCCUUGUGUCCGCCUGUCGGCACAGGGGCGAAACUUCAGACAGGCUUGCCCGGCUCCGCCCGGUCAGGGGCUAAGAGUACGGGCGAGAACGCAAAACCUGACCUAAACCUGUAGACACCUCGAUGGACCUUUCCCGGACCCGGGUUCAACUCCCGGCGCCUCCACCA
rfam:Desulfohalobium retbaense DSM 5692, complete genome.